rnacentral:hammerhead_ribozyme from 1 species
GCACUGCUGAGGAGUCCCAUACUAGGACGAGACGGUCUUCCAGUGC